rnacentral:rRNA from 1 species
UACGUAGGUGACAAGCGUUGUCCGGAUUUACUGGGCGUAAAGAGCUCGUAGGCGGUUUGUUGCGUCGGCUGUGAAAUCCCGAGGCUCAACCUCGGGUCUGCAGUCGAUACGAGCAAACUAGAGUGUUGCAGGGGAGACUGGAAUUCCUGGUGUAGCGGUGAAAUGCGCAGAUAUCAGGAGGAACACCGGUGGCGAAGGCGGGUCUCUGGGCCGAUACUGACGCUGAGGAGCGAAAGCAUGGGUAGCGAACAGG